UAUUGUGCACUCUUGUGUACUCUUUUGUCACUUGCUGUGGUGCCAGUGAGAUAUAUCUAUAUCUAUAUCUAUAUCUAUAUCUAUAUCUAUAUCUAUAAUCACUGGCACCACAGCAAGUGACAAAAGAGUACACAAGGUUGUUGUACUUCAA